UGCCUACGGGACGCAGCAGUGAGGAAUAUUGGUCAAUGGGCGGGAGCCUGAACCAGCCAAGCCGCGUGAGGGAAGAAGGUACAGCGUAUCGUAAACCUCUUUUGUCAGGGAGCAACGCCGGCUACGUGUAGCCGGACUGAGAGUACCUGAAGAAAAAGCAUCGGCUAACUCCGUGCCAGCAGCCGCGGUAAUACGGAGGAUGCGAGCGUUAUCCGGAUUUAUUGGGUUUAAAGGGUGCGUAGGCGGAAUGCCAAGUCAGCGGUAAAAUCGCGGGGCUCAACCUCGCUCCGCCGUUGAAACUGGCG
rnacentral:rRNA from 1 species